GAAGCCGUCUCGAUCAGUCGUCUUGAUUUUGGCCUCCUAACCGUAGUUUAACUCGCGUCGUAUCGUGCGGUAAAUCGGAGUGAAGUUAACGCCGUCCGCCAACGAAGCUCUCUCUCGCCAACGGAACGUCACGGAGCGGAGACGUAGCGCGGCGAAGCGCUCUCGAAUCGCGUUACUCGAUCUGUGCAAUUAGUCUUAUAUUCGUUGCGUAUCGGUAAUAAGCGCGCGCGUGUGACAUCGUGUGUGCUACGGGGAAACAGCGCUGCGAGGGAUUCCGAGGGGAGCAGCAGAGGCGUGUGGUCGGCGUCGGGCAGCGGGACCGGUCCUUGGCUUUUGCAACGAUGCGAGCACGCGAAUGACGACUUGUUGCGGCUCAUCAGCAGAGGAUGCGCGUCGUACGAUUGGCUAAUGAAGAGUUUACAAUGUUGAUUUAAC
rnacentral:lncRNA from 13 species